rnacentral:rRNA from 1 species
UGAACGCUGGCGGAAUGCUUUACACAUGCAAGUCGAACGGUAGAGGGGGCAACCCCUUGAGAGUGGCGAACGGGUGAGUAAUGUAUCGGAACGUGCCCAGUCGUGGGGGAUAACGUAGUGAAAAUUACGCUAAUACCGCAUACGAUCUAUGGAUGAAAGCGGGGGAUCGCAAGACCUCGCGCGAUUGGAGCGGCCGAUAUCAGAUUAGGUAGUUGGUAGGGUAAAGGCCUACCAAGCCAACGAUCUGUAGCUGGUCUGAGAGGACGACCAGCCACACUGGAACUGAGACACGGUCCAGACUCCUACGGGAGGCAGCAGUGGGGAAUUUUGGACAAUGGGCGAAAGCCUGAUCCAGCCAUUCCGCGUGCAGGAUGAAGGCCUUAGGGUUGUAAAGCUCUUUUACCAGGGAUGAUAAUGACAGUACCUGGAGAAUAAGCUCCGGCUAACUCCGCGCCAGCAGCCGCGGUAAUCU